rnacentral:lncRNA from 1 species
GCUACGUGAUCCAGCAUCUCCACCAGCAUUUGGCAAGUUCUGCACAGCUUGUGCCAUUGCUUGCAUUGCGGCAGCCAUUGCAGCGUCAUUCCUUCCAGCCAUUUCAACUUAUCAAACAACACAACUUAAGUUAGAUUGGUAACAAUACACAAUUGUUAGACAAAACGACACGACAACUGGCCGGACGGACCGACCUGCUCUGAUACCACUAAUGUAACACCCUUCUAAAUACCCCAAAU